rnacentral:lncRNA from 1 species
UGCUUUUUCUCUUUAAAAUUUUAUCUUGAUUCCACUUCUCCAGACUCCUAUGGAAAUAAAUCAUACAGCUCAAAAUUCGUCAGAGCAGCUAUUGGAAGAACUUUUAGGUCUUAAAUAACGAAUGUUUGAUGUCUAUACAUAUUUGGUGGAACAUUAUUAUACUGCCAUUCUAAAACCAGAAGAAUUUGUGUCAGUAUGUUUUACAUGAGAUUGCCAUUAAACAUCAUCUGUUAUUAGGGAAAAAGGCUGACAGUAAUGAGUAAUCCAAGAACGAAGAAUUAUCUGAAUUGGAGGAGAUUUAGUUGAAAAUGAGCAUUUGUUUUAUAUUGCUUCAAAAUAGAUUCCCGAUGAGCUCAUUCCGUGAUUUUGCACUUUAUCAGUACUUAGGGUAAAAGAUGUCUGGGGAAUGUGAAAAUAAUUAAAAUCUGCCGAUAACAAGAUAUGUUGGAGUGAGUGCUGAGUAAGUUCACGGAUAUGUUAAAUAUGCUGAACUACUUACUUACUGUAAAAGUUUCAGAUUUCUUUGAAGUGGCUGUGCAUCCUAGUGCAAUUUGCUCCAUAUGUAGAUGUGAAACAGGUAUAAUAUGGGCUGUGCAAGUUUGUGCUGGCAGAGCUGUUGAAUUUUAGCUUGACUUCAACCUGUUGAUUUAGUACCAAUGAGACUGUAUUCUGUUUCCCAUAUGUUUUACUUCUCUGCAAGCAAAUUAAUAAAGUUCAUUAAUUUCCAGAGGACUAGGUUGUU